GUUAGGAAUAUUGGACAAUGGGCGCAAGCCUGAUCCAGCAAUGCCGCGUGCAGGAAGAAGGCCUUCGGGUUGUAAACUGCUUUUGUACGGAACGAAACGGUCCGGGUUAAUACCCUGGGCUAAUGACGGUACCGUAAGAAUAAGCACCGGCUAACUACGUGCCAGCAGCCGCGGUAAUACGUAGGGUGCAAGCGUUAAUCGGAAUUACUGGGCGUAAAGCGUGCGCAGGCGGUUUUGUAAGACAGGCGUGAAAUCCCCGGGCUCAACCUGGGAAUUGCGCUUGUGACUGCAAGGCUGGAGUGCGGCAGAGGGGGAUGGAAUUCCGCGUGUAGCAGUGAAAUGCGUAGAUAUGCGGAGGAACACCGAUGGCGAAGGCAAUCCCCUGGGCCUGCACUGACGCUCAUGCACGAAAGCGUGGGGAGCAAACAGGAUUAGAUACCCCUGUAGUCC
rnacentral:rRNA from 1 species